UACUAGGGUGGAGCUUAAACUCUUUAUAGUCGCUGCGGAAUGAGGUGCCAGGGUUACCGGAUGGCUUUGAUUAACCCGUUCGGGACCGGGUUUUUUUUCAUACUCUAAAGACCAGAAUUUGUCAUUUUUAUUUUUAGCAAUAUGUUGGUAAACCAUUAUUCUCAUUUUCCAUUUUUGAUGUGCUCACGGAAGUUAGACACUGAAUUCUUCUACACAGUAGGGACUGUUCCUCCUAAGAGGGACACUUGGGAAGUGAGUUACAGAUGGAGUCCCAUUGGAAAAAACA